GCCGGGCGUGGUGGCGCGCGGCUGUAGUCCUAGCUACUCGGGAGGCUGAGGCAGGAGGAUCGCUUGAGUCCAGGAGUUCUGGGCUGCAGUGCGCUAUGCCGAUCGGGUGUCCGCACUAAGUUCGGCAUCAAUAUGGUGACCUCCCGGGAGCGGGAGACCACCAGGUUGCCUAAGGAGGGGUGAACCGACCCAGGUCGGAAACGGAGCAGGUCAAAACUCCCGUGCUGAUCAAUUUAUUGAGUCUAAAAUGGUAAAAAGUCCCAAUGACUCUCCAGUUUUCCCACCCUCC
rnacentral:SRP_RNA from 1 species